rnacentral:lncRNA from 1 species
UAUGAAUAAAAUAUUUCAUAUUCAUACACAAUUUGCAUUGUGAUUUUAUCGAGUAUAAUGCAAUUAUUAUUUUGCUACACUAGAAAUAUACUAAUUAAUUACGCUUAUGUCUUGCCUCAUUUUGCUUCUGGCAACGUUUGCUGCUGAUUUUUGAGACAAUAUUUUGUUGGUUCUUGAACUAUGUUGCCAUCUUUUAUUUUUAUAUUGAAUGGCACGUUAUAGAGCAAUUCUGUCUGCAUCACUCCAUUGAUAGAGUGAAAAAGGAGAUAUUCAAUCCCCAUUUAUAGCUCAUAACUUGUUUUUCUGGCUUCUUGAAAAUCAGUCACAAAGUCUCAUUCAAAUCCCAUUUUCUUUCACACAUCAUGUGACACCAAUGGACACUGCCUACAAUAAAGUAAAACGGAAAUUCACAUAGCCCAACUGUGUCACACAAAUAUUGCUCCAUACCGCAUGUUCCCUAAUUCAAUGUGCUAUGUAAACAUUAGCUCUCGCCAUAUAACAUCACAAUCUCACCGACUGCACUUUAAUCUACCAAGGACCAGGUAACUUGCAAAUCGUUUACCUCAAACCCCAGCUCAUUGGAGGAGCGCUGAACAGUGAACAACCAAAAUUGAUUAACCUUUUACCAUGGGUAAAUAUAUACGAUAUGUAAAAACAAAAACUGAGAGCCAGGAUUCUAAGGCUCUAGAAAAGGUGAGCUCAAUACUGAAGCUACUAUUGAUAGAAGCUACUAUUGAGGAGGAAAAAGUCUGUAUAUACUACACAAUUGUUUUUUUUGUUUUCUGGUUUGAGUUCUAGAUUUACCAGAAGAAAGAUGUGAUGCUGCCCUAAAAGCAUAAAAGCAUUAAUUACGGAGCCAGUAUAUUCAGGCUCUCAUACACAAAAAAUAAAUAGUUACCAUCUACACUACAUUUGUUUCUCUCUUGUUUUUACAUAUCUGGUCUAUGUUAUAUAUCCCAUAUUUACCAAUUGCAAAAUGGUAAGCAUUUUGGCUGCUCCCUAUUCAGAGCUCCACUAUUGUACAUACGUUUUAUGACGUGUACCUACUAUUAUAAGUUCCCACAGAAGUGUUUUUGAUCUGCUAUUUAUAGUUAUCACUUUAAGCACUUAAUAAUUGGCACACUUCCUCCUAUUGGAGUUUUUUUUGCAGUGCAUAGGAACAUUACACACAGGCUUGAGGUGCCCUAACAGCAUUCCUCAUGCUCAUCAUCAUGUAUUACAAUUGGGGUACUCGUAGAAACAUGCAGAAUUUUUCAAUAAAAGAAUAACAAGGAAGCUAUGUUGAUUAAUGCUAGAGAGGGUAGUUAACGUUAUGAUAGUAACAUAAAACAGUGGUUUGUGUGCCACUGGCUGGGACCUGGGUAGGCUGAUUGUGUUGUCAAGCAUGCAGAGCAAUGUUGGAAAAUGCUAUCGCAUAGUGCGCUCAGUUGCAGGAGUCUGGGAUUAGUGGUAGGUUGUGCAGUGCUUUACAUUCUUCCUAGUCGGGGUGCAUGAGGUUUAGCGCAAAAGGAAUACAGCAUGUCAAAUCUGCGGGAGGGUGCCCUGGUGUUAGCUACAAUUGGUCCUCAAGCACUGGUUCUCUAAAAUGACAUGAGUCGCUAACAUGAAAUGCCUUUCAUAGUGCUGCAUAAGGAAGGGCAACUAGCUAAGAUGGAUAAAAGCAGGCUAAGAAAUACUAGGCAAACUACAGGUAGCACUAUGCCAACAUUAUGUUACUUUACAGUCCCAGAGCGUGGACUAGGUUGGUGCCACUUGGUUAGAGUCGCUCAGCUUAUGCCAGCUGUCGUCUUGGUCAGGGUAUUGGUGCUAGGAGGGUCCCAGGAUUCUGUAGAGGGAGAGCGUUGGGGAACAGACCUCAUGCCCCAGGCCGAUUUGCAGGCCAGCAUCUUUGAUCCACGGACUUGGGGGCUCAAAGUCCAAGUCCUGCCCCAUAUUGGAGAGACAGAAGGCCCUGGUGGUGUGUCUCCAUUGACGGUGGGCGAUCAUGCCCACCAGGGAGUACCAAAACUGCGCCAAGGGGUCUGUGACCCUAGAUCCCUGCACUGGUAUUUCCUCUAUUUAACCUUACAAACAUUUACACUCAGGAGCAUUAAAGCCCUCUUAAUAAACAUACCACUACUGUUUAGC